rnacentral:rRNA from 1 species
AGAGUUUGAUCAUGGCUCAGAUUGAACGCUGGCGGCAUGCUUUACACAUGCAAGUCGAACGGUAGGGUAGCAAUACCUGAGAGUGGCGAACGGGUGAGUAAUGCAUCGGAACAUGCCUAUUUGUGGGGGAUAGCCCGGCGAAAGCCGGAUUAAUACCGCAUACGAUCCAAGGAUGAAAGCUGGGGACCGCAAGGCCUAGCGCAAAUAGAGUGGCCGAUGUCAGAUUAGCUAGUUGGUGGGGUAAAGGCCCACCAAGGCAACGAUCUGUAGCUGGUUUGAGAGAACGACCAGCCACACUGGGACUGAGACACGGCCCAGACUCCUACGGGAGGCAGCAGUGGGGAAUUUUGGACAAUGGGCGAAAGCCUGAUCCAGCAAUGCCGCGUGCAGGAUGAAGGCCUUCGGGUUGUAAACUGCUUUUGUACGGAGCGAAAAGGCUUCUUCUAAUACAGGAGGCUCAUGACGGUACCGUAAGAAUAGACC